rnacentral:rRNA from 1 species
AUUGAACGCUGGCGGCAGGCCUAACACAUGCAAGUCGAGCGAGCUUCGGACGGGUGAGUAAUGCCUGCGUAUUGCCCAGUCGAUGGGGAUAACAGUUGGCAACGAGUGCUCAUACCGCAUCCGGCUGGAUUGCCCAGGUGGGAUUAGCUCGUUGGUGAGUUAAUGGCUCACCAAGGCGACGAUCCCGAGCUGGUCUGAGAGGAUGAUCAGCCACACUGGAACUGAGACACGGCCCAGACUCCUACGGGAGGCAGCAGUGGGGAAUAUUGCACAAUGGGCGAAAGCCUGAGGCAGCCAUGCCGCGUGUGUGAAGAAGGCCUUCGGGUUGUAAAGCACUUUCAGCGGGGAGGCGUUACUUGCAGAAGAAGCACCGGCUAACUCCGUGCCAGCAGCCGCGGUAAUUC